UUGGUCCACAUUGAGGUCCAAAGGGUCCAACAUUAAACUUUGUUUGAUUUUAGCAAAAAUUGAAUAUAUGAGGUUCUUUGAUAUGCUGAAUCUAAACAUGUAUUUAGAUUUUUGAUUUUUGGCCCAGUUUUCAAGUUGGUCCAAAUUGGGGUCCAAAAUUAAACUUUGUUUGAUUUCAACAAAAAUUGAAUAUAUGGGGUUCUUUGAUAUGCUGAAUCUAACCAUGUAUUUAGAUUUUUUAUUUGUGGACCCUGUUAUCAAAUUGGUUCAUAUUGAGGUCAAAAGGGUCCAAAAUUAAACUUUGUUUGAUUUCAUCAAAAAUUGAAUUAUUGGGGUUCUUUGAUAUUCCAAAUCUAACCGUGUAUUUAGAUUUUUAAUUUUGGGUCCUGUUUUUUAAAUUGGUCUACAUUAAGAUCCAAAGGGUCCAAAAUUAAACUUAGUUUGAUUUUAACAAAAAUUGAAUUCUUGGGGUUCUUUGAUAUGCUGAAUCUAAACAUGUGUUUAGAUUUUUGAUUAUGGGCCCAGUUUUCAAGUUGGUCCAAGAUAGGGUCCAGUAUUUAAACUUUGUUUGAUUUCAACAAAAAUUGAAUAUAUGAGGUUCUUUGAUAUGCUGAAUCUAAACAUGUAUUUAGAUUUUUGAUUAUGGGCCCAGUUUUCAAGUUGGUCCAAAUUGGGGUCCAAAAUUAACUUUGUUUGAUUUCAACAAAAAUUGAAUAUAUGCGGUUCUUUGAUAUGCUGAAUCUAACCAUGUAUUUAGAUUUUUUAUUUGUGGGCCCCGCUAUCAAAUUGGUUCAUAUUGAGGUCAAAAGGGUCCAAAAUUAAACUGUGUUUGAUUUCAUCAAAAAUUGAAUUAUUGGGGUUCUUUGAUAUGCCAAAUCUUACCGUGUUUUUAGAUUUUUAAUUUGGGUCCCGUUUUUUAAAUUGGUCUUCAUUGAGGUCCAAAGGGUCCAAAAUUAAACUUAGUUUGAUUUUAGCAAAAAUUGAAUUCUUGGGGUUCUUUGAUAUGCUGAAUCUAAACAUGUGUUUAGAUUUUUGAUUAUGGGCCCAGUUUUCAAGUUUGUCCAAGUUGGGGUCCAAAAUUAAACUUUGUUUGAUUUCAACAAAAAUUGAAUAUAUGGGGUUCUUUGAUAUGCUGAAUCUAACCAUGAAUUUAGAUUUUUUAUUUGUGGGCCCGCUAUCAAAUUGGUUCAUAUUGAGGUCAAAAGGGUCCAAAAUUAAACUUUGUUUGAUUUCAUCAAAAAUUGAAUUAUUGGGGUUCUUUGAUAUUCCAAAUCUAACCGUGUAUUUAGAUUUUUAAUUUUAAGUCCCGUUUUUUAAAUUGGUCUACAUUAAGGUCCAAAGGGUCCAAAAUUAAACUUAGUUUGAUUUUAGCAAAAAUUGAAUUCUUGGGGUUCUUUGAUAUGCUGAAUCUAAACAUGUGUUCAGAUUUUUGAUUAUGGGCCCAGUUUUCAAGUUUGUCCAAGUUGGGGUCCAAAAUUAAACUUUGUUUGAUUUUAACAAAAAUUGAAUAUAUGCGGUUCUUUGAUAUGCUGAAUCUAACCAUGUAUUUUGAUUUUGGACAUUGGACCAUAAUAGGUAAAUUAAAAAAAUUCAAGUUCUUAGACUCCAUUCUUUCUGUGUCAGAAACCUAUGCUGUGUCAA